rnacentral:rRNA from 1 species
AGUGAACGCUGGCGGUAGGCCUAACACAUGCAAGUCGAACGGCAGCACAGUAAGAGCUUGCUCUUACGGGUGGCGAGUGGCGGACGGGUGAGGAAUACAUCGGAAUCUACUUUUUCGUGGGGGAUAACGUAGGGAAACUUACGCUAAUACCGCAUACGACCUACGGGUGAAAGCAGUGGAUCUUCGGACCUUGCGCGAUUGAAUGAGCCGAUGUCGGAUUAGCUAGUUGGCGAGGUAAAGGCCCACCAAGGCGACGAUCCGUAGCUGGUGUGAGAGGAUGGUCGGCCACACUAGAGCUGAGCCACGGACCAGGCUCCUACGGGAGGGAGCAGUGGGGAAUAUUGGACAAUGGGCGCAAGCCUGAUCCAGCCAUACCGCGUGGGUGAAGAAGGCGUUCGGGUUGUAAAGCCCUUUUGUUGGGAAAGAAAAGCAGCAGGUUAAUACCCAGCUGUUCUGACGGUACCCAAAGAAUAAGCACCGGCUAACUUCGUG